UACGGAGGAUCCAAGCGUUAUCCGGAAUCAUUGGGUUUAAAGGGUCCGUAGGUGGUUUAGUAAGUCAGUGGUGAAAGCCCAUCGCUCAACGGUGGAACGGCCAUUGAUACUGCUGAACUUGAAUUAUUAGGAAGUAACUAGAAUAUGUAGUGUAGCGGUGAAAUGCUUAGAGAUUACAUGGAAUACCAAUUGCGAAGGCAGGUUACUACUAAUGGAUUGACGCUGAUGCACGAAAGCGUGGGUAGCGAACAGG
rnacentral:rRNA from 1 species